rnacentral:rRNA from 1 species
UAACACAUGCAAGUCGAACGGAAAGGCCCUGCUUUUGUGGGGUGCUCGAGUGGCGAACGGGUGAGUAACACGUGAGUAACCUGCCCUUGACUUUGGGAUAACUUCAGGAAACUGGGGCUAAUACCGGAUAGGAGCUCCUGCUGCAUGGUGGGGGUUGGAAAGUUUCGGCGGUUGGGGAUGGACUCGCGGCUUAUCAGCUUGUUGGUGGGGUAGUGGCUUACCAAGGCUUUGACGGGUAGCCGGCCUGAGAGGGUGACCGGCCACAUUGGGACUGAGAUACGGCCCAGACUCCUACGGGAGGCAGCAGUGGGGAAUAUUGCACAAUGGGCGGAAGCCUGAUGCAGCAACGCCGCGUGCGGGAUGACGGCCUUCGGGUUGUAAACCGCUUUCGCCUGUGACGAAGCGUGAGUGACGGUAAUGGGUAAAGAAGCACCGGCUAACUACGUGCCAGCAGCCGCGGUGAUACGUAGGGUGCGAGCGUUGUCCGGAUUUAUUGGGCGUAAAGGGCUCGUAGGUGGUUGAUCGCGUCGGAAGUGUAAUCUUGGGGCUUAACCCUGAGCGUGCUUUCGAUACGGGUUGACUUGAGGAAGGUAGGGGAGAAUGGAAUUCCUGGUGGAGCGGUGGAAUGCGCAGAUAUCAGGAGGAACACCAGUGGCGAAGGCGGUUCUCUGGGCCUUUCCUGACGCUGAGGAGCGAAAGCGUGGGGAGCGAACAGGCUUAGAUACCCUGGUAGUCCACGCUGUAAACGGUGGGUACUAGGUGUGGGGUCCAUUCCACGGGUUCCGUGCCGUAGCUAACGCUUUAAGUACCCCGCCUGGGGAGUACGGCCGCAAGGCUAAAACUCAAAGGAAUUGACGGGGCCCCGCACAAGCGGCGGAGCAUGCGGAUUAAUUCGAUGCAACGCGUAGAACCUUACCUGGGUUUGACAUGGAUCGGGAGUGCUCAGAGAUGGGUGUGCCUCUUUUGGGGUCGGUUCACAGGUGGUGCAUGGCUGUCGUCAGCUCGUGUCGUGAGAUGUUGGGUUAAGUCCCGCAACGAGCGCAACCCUUGUUCACUGUUGCCAGCACGUUAUGGUGGGGACUCAGUGGAGACCGCCGGGGUCAACUCGGAGGAAGGUGGGGAUGACGUCAAGUCAUCAUGCCCCUUAUGUCCAGGGCUUCACGCAUGCUACAAUGGCUGGUACAGAGAGUGGCGAGCCUGUGAGGGUGAGCGAAUCUCGGAAAGCCGGUCUCAGUUCGGAUUGGGGUCUGCAACUCGACCUCAUGAAGUCGGAGUCGCUAGUAAUCGCAGAUCAGCAACGCUGCGGUGAAUACGUUCCCGGGGCUUGUACACACCGCCCGUCAAGUCAUGAAAGUUGGUAACACCCGAAGCCGGUGGCCUAACCGUUGUGGGGGAGCCGUCGAAGGUGGGACUGGUGAUUAGGACUAAG